rnacentral:rRNA from 1 species
GACAGAGGGUGCAAGCGUUGUUCGGAUUUACUGGGCGUAAAGCGCGUGUAGGCGGCCAGAUAGGUCUGCUGUGAAAACUCGAGGCUCAACCUCGAGCUGUCGGCGGAAACCAUCUGGCUAGAGUCCGGAAGAGGAGAGUGGAAUUCCUGGUGUAGCGGUGAAAUGCGUAGAUAUCAGGAGGAACACCUGCGGUGUAGACGGCUUUCUGGACCAUUGCUGACGCUGAGACACGAAAGCGUGGGUAGCAAACAGG